CAGCGCUGAAUCCUGCGGCCAUUGGUCGUUGGGAGCUGUAGCGUAUAGGUGUAGCUGUUCUUUGGUUUUAUUCACCCAAAGUCCCCUUGAGUGGGGCCAUAAUCCGUAGAAGGUGCUAGACCUGUACGGGUGGUGAAGCCAUUGAUAUGGUUGCUCCUUGGAGUCGAGUUGCCUGGGAACGCAGCUCAAAGUAGGUGGUAAACCUCAUCUAAGGCUAAAUACGGCCACGAGACCGAUAGCAAACAAGUACCGUGAGGGAAAGUUGCAAAGAACUUUGAAGAGAGAGUUUCAAGAGGGCGUGAAACCGCUGGGAAGGAAACGGAUAGAGUUGACGAAACUCGGCGGCAUUCACCCGACRAUUCGUACUGUUGCUUGUGUUGUUAGCUGCUUCAUUCGUGUGGUGGCAAUGGCAUGGGUUUUGCGGUCGAGUAGUUGGUGUAUUUGCCGUCGGUAUGCGCCGAGAAGCUCGCUGUGGUGCGUUGAUGCUUGUCUAAAGAGGACCGCACUCGCAUGAGUGUGGAAACCUUUAGCGGCUGAGGCGUAUCCGUGGUGAGUGUGCAUCGCAAGGCAGCGCCCGUUAUGGUGCAAUGGCUGUUGCGUGAUUGGUGUGGCUGUUGGCGGUCGCGUGCGACUUGUCGACAGUUGACGCUGGUCCGUUGGCGGCUAUAUUGCGCUGGCGUAAAAUCUCGGUGUAAAAGUUGACCACCUAUCCGACCCGUCUUGAAACACGGACCAAGGAGUUUAGCAUAUGCGCAAGUCAUUGGGUGGAAAACCCAAAGGCGUAAUGAAAGUAAAGAUCGCUUCUAGCGGUUGAUAUGGGAUCCGCAGAGUUGAGAGACGAUGCGGCGCACCAUAGCCCCGUCCCUGUUGCUUGCAAUGGGGCGGAGGUAGAGCGCAUACGCUGAGACCCGAAAGAUGGUGAACUAUGCCUGAGCAGGAUGAAGCCAGAGGAAACUCUGGUGGAAGUCCGAAGCGGUUCUGACGUGCAAAUCGAUCGUCUGACUUGG
rnacentral:rRNA from 1 species